UACGUAGUAUGCAUAAUCCCAAUAGUUAACCACUUUUUCCAAAUACAAGGGAGAACAAAUGGAAAUGAAGGUGUACGUGGUGGCAGUGAUAAUAUUGUUGUCUAUACAAUUCAUGCCUUCAUCAACACAAGAAGGUCCAACUCCAGCUCCUUCGCCAAUAGGCGAUCCAGAUCUAGGACGGUGUUGGGAUAACAUCGGGAAUUGCUUGAAUGAUAACAUCAACAACAGUCGAUCGAUGCCACAGUUUGAUCCAUUAAGUGGGUCAUUUAACGUGACAGAAUUCUAUUGUUGCUCUCUCAUUCAAGAAAUAGCAAGUACUGAAACACCGUGUUUUUGUAACAUGAACACAUAUCUUCACCAAUUUCCGACUAUGGCAAACAGUGUUUUCCAGAUUUUUACCACAUGCGGCAUCGUCACCUCACUUCCUGCUCUUGACAGAUUUUGCCUUGGUGAAGCGCCAAGCCCUGCCCCAACUCCAAUGAUGUCAUUAUCUCCUGUUUCCACCGCCUUCGACGAGGUAAUCUCUGGUGGGAGUUUGCAUGGGUACCUCGAUGGACAGCAUCCUCCCAGUUGAGAUUUUUUCCAUUCCCAAGACUCGAACCCGAGACUUUGGUUAAGGAGCAAGAGACCCUUAACCACUCAUGCCAACCUCAAUUGGUAAUUCUUAAGAUAAAGCUGGCGGUUCUCCCAAGGACACGAUGACAGGGUCACUUUAAGCUUCUCCAUUUAAUUUCCGUCUUGCAUAUAUACUUCAUUUUGUUUAGUUCUCUGGGCGGAGCUUGAUUUCCAUUAUCAUUUGUUAAGUGCACUAUGUACAAUUAAGGAACUGAUUGAACUUUAACAAUAAAGAUACUACAUAUUUAUGUUUGUG